GAAGUAUGGUAGUCAAAAAUAAGCUUCUAACUUAAUUUUUUAGCGAUGAAAUUUCGUUUAUACUUCU
rnacentral:tRNA from 1 species